rnacentral:misc_RNA from 1 species
AACGCAUAUUGCACUUCCUGGUAUUCCGGGAAGUAUGCCUGUUUCAGUAUCAUGAACACAACCUCAGGCCCAAAGGGGGUGGGGAGGAGACCUCGUCUUCUUCUUCUUCCCUUUUGGGUCCUGGAUCUAGGCUGAACCCGAACCUUUGCUCGUAAAGCUCGGCCAGCCUGAAAUGCAUACCCGCAAGGAGGGGGAGGGAAAAAGGCGUAGAUAAAAGUUCGACCUCGGAGUCGAUACCUUUUUUUUUCUCGCCGAAAGAAAUCACUCUCCACCCUACCGAUCGCGAUCGGCAGGACUCGUUUUUUUUCGUGUUCUCUUCUCAACUUGAUCUGAAAUCAGGUAGGAGUACCCGCUGAACUUAA